rnacentral:rRNA from 1 species
GACGAACGCUGGCGGCGUGCUUAACACAUGCAAGUCGAACGGAAAGGCCCUGCUUGCAGGGUACUCGAGUGGCGAACGGGUGAGUAACACUUGGGUGAUCUGCCCUGCACUUCGGGAUAAGCCUGGGAAACUGGGUCUAAUACCGGUUAGGCGCAUUCUUUAGUGUGAUGGUUGGAAAGUUUUUUCGGUGUAGGAUGAUCUCAGGGCCUAUCAUCUUGUUGGUGGGUUAUUGCCUACCGAGGCGGCCACGGGGAGCCGGCCUGGGAGGGUGGACUGCCACAUGGAGACGGAGAUACGGCCCAGACUCCGACGGGAGGCAGCAGCGGGGAAUAUUGCACUAUGGGCGCAAGCCUGAUGCAGCGACGCCGCGUGGGGGAUGACGGACUUCGGGUUGUAAACUCAUUUCGCUAGGGACGAAGCGUUUUGUGACGGUACCUAGAUAAGAAGCACCGGCUAACUACGUG